UCCCGCUUGAAGCGGGCAGUCUCCGGUGAAAAAUUCAACACCGGAUAAGGGUUUCGCUCGUUUACGGACUUAACCGUACAUCUCACGACACGAGCUGACGACGACCGUGCAACACCUGUCUUAGGGUUCCUUGCGGCACGGUCCACUUUCAUGGACUUUCCCUAGAUGUCAAGCCUGGGUGAGGUGCCCCGCUUGUCGUCGAAUUAAACCACAUGCUCCACCGCUUGUGCGAGCCCCCGUCAAUUCCUUUGAGUUUUAGUCUUGCGACCGUACUUCCCAGGCGGCACACUUAACGCGUUAGCUUCGGCACAAGAAGGGUCGAUACUCCCAAUGCCUAGUGUGCAUCGUUUACGGCGUGGACUAC
rnacentral:misc_RNA from 1 species